UAAUAAAAUUUCUGUCCAUUCCAACUGUUAAAAACCAGCCUGACUGAUGAAAUAACCAAACAAUUACACGUGGUGUGUCACAAGUACCUAAUGCUAACAUACAGGACUAGUUUUUAACAAUAAAAAAGAAUAGAAUUAUUAACA
rfam:Gossypium raimondii Chr01_contig_100, whole genome shotgun sequence.